UACGUAGGCAGCGAGCGUUGUUCGGAGUUACUGGGCGUAAAGGGUGUGUAGGCGGUUGUUUAAGUUUGGUGUGAAAUCUCCCGGCUCAACUGGGAGGGUGCGCCGAAUACUGAAUGACUUGGAGUACGGGAGAGGGUAGUGGAAUUCCCGGUGUAGUGGUGAAAUGCGUAGAUAUCGGGAGGAACACCAGUGGCGAAGGCGGCUCUCUGGACCUCUGCUGACGCUGAGGCGCGAAAGCGUGGGGAGCGAACAGG
rnacentral:rRNA from 1 species